CACGUAGGGGGCGAGCGUUGUCCGGAUUUAUUGGGCGUAAAGAGCUCGUAGGCGGUUCGAUAAGUCGGGUGUGAAAACUCUGGGCUCAACCCAGAGACGCCACCCGAUACUGUCGUGACUGGAGUCCGGUAGGGGAGUGUGGAAUUCCCGGUGUAGCGGUGGAAUGCGCAGAUAUCGGGAGGAACACCAGCGGCGAAGGCGGCACUCUGGGCUGGAACUGACGCUGAGGAGCGAAAGCGUGGGUAGCAAACAGG
rnacentral:rRNA from 1 species